CCUACGGGUGGCAGCAGUGAGGAAUAUUGGUCAAUGGGCGCGAGCCUGAACCAGCCAAGUCGCGUGAAGGAUGACUGCCCUACGGGUUGUAAACUUCUUUUAUAAAGGAAUAAAGUGAGGCACGUGUACCUUUUUGUAUGUACUUUAUGAAUAAGGAUAGGCUAACUCCGUGCCAGCAGCCGCGGUACUACGGAGGAUCCGAGCGUUAUCCGGAUUUAGUGGGUUUAAAGGGAGCGUAGAUGGGUGGUUAAGUCAGUUGUGAAAGUUUGCGGCUCAACCGUAAAAGUGCAAUUGAUACUGGCAGACUUGAGUACAGUUGAGGUAGGCGGAAUUCGUGGUGUAGCGGUGAAAUGCUUAGAUAUCACGAAGAACUCCGAUUGCGAAGGCAGCUUACUAAACUGCCACUGACAUUGAUGCUCGAAAGUGUGGGUAUCAAACAGGAUUAGAUACCCCUGUAGUC
rnacentral:rRNA from 1 species